rnacentral:rRNA from 1 species
CAGCCGCCACGGUAAUACGUAGGGUGCGAGCGUUAAUCGGAAUUACUGGGCGUAAAGCGGGCGCAGACGGUUACUUAAGCAGGAUGUGAAAUCCCCGGGCUCAACCUGGGAAUUGCGUUCUGAACUGGGUGGCUAGAGUGUGUCAGAGGGGGGUAGAAUUCCACGUGUAGCAGUGAAAUGCGUAGAGAUGUGGAGGAAUACCGAUGGCGAAGGCAGCCCCCUGGGAUAGCACUGACGUUCAUGCCCGAAAGCGUGGGUAGCAAACAGGAUUAGAUACCCGUGUAGUCCCUGUCUCUUAUAC